rnacentral:sRNA from 2 species
AUGGGCUGCUCGCACACUGCGGUUCCGGGCGCGCCGUCCACGCCCCACCUUACGGCUGCGUGCUACGUGUUAGCC